rnacentral:rRNA from 1 species
UACGUAGGCAGCGAGCGUUGUUCGGAGUUACUGGGCGUAAAGAGCGUGUAGGCGGUCUAGCAAGUCAGAUGUGAAAGCCCGGGGCCUAACUCCGGAAGUGCAUUUGAAACUGCUAGGCUUGAGUGAUGUAGAGGUUGGCGGAAUACCCAGUGUAGAGGUGAAAUUCGUAGAUAUUGGGUAGAACACCGGUGGCGAAGGCGGCCAACUGGGCAUUAACUGACGCUGAGACGCGAAAGCGUGGGGAGCAAACAGG